rnacentral:lncRNA from 1 species
UCUUCAAUCUAUGGAAGGGGUUCAGUGAAAUCAGUGGACCCCCAGGUUGGUUCACCUAGGAGAUGAUACAGUUCGGGAGAUGACCACUGGCCUCUGGUGUUACAGUUUGGACACAGCAGUAAAGAAUUCUGUCUCAGGGUCUCUAAUGGAGUUGCCAUCAAAUGUUGGCCAUUAUUACAAUCACCUAAAGAUUUGUUUGGAGAUAGAGAAUCCGCUCCCAAGGUGGCUCACUCAGUCUUGCUGUGUCGCCCAGGCUAGCGUAUAGUGACAAGAUCAUGGUUCACUGCAGCCUUGACCUCAUGGGCUCAAGCAGUCCUUCUGCCUCAGCCUCACAAGUAACAAGGACUACAGGUACGUGCCA